rnacentral:rRNA from 1 species
GAUGAACGCUAGCGGCAGGCUUAAUACAUGCAAGUCGAGGGGCAGCAGGUUUGUAGCAAUACAGAUGCUGGCGACCGGCAAACGGGUGCGGAACACGUACGCAACCUUCCUUUAACUGGAAGAUAGCCCACCGAAAGGUGGAUUAAUACUCCAUAAUAUAACUGAAUGGCAUCAUUUAGAUAUUAAAGCUCCGGCGGUUAAAGAUGGGCGUGCGUCUGAUUAGGUAGUUGGCGGGGUAACGGCCCACCAAGCCUACGAUCAGUAGCUGAUGUGAGAGCAUGAUCAGCCACACGGGCACUGAGACACGGGCCCGACUCCUACGGGAGGCAGCAGUAAGGAAUAUUGGUCAAUGGACGCAAGUCUGAACCAGCCAUGCCGCGUGGAGGAUGAAGGCCCUCUGGGUUGUAAACUUCUUUUCUUUGGGACGAAACCCCUGUUUCUACGGGGACUGACGGUACCAGAGGAAUAAGCACCGGCUAACUCCGUGCCAGCAGCCGCGGUAAUAC